AUAGAAGUUCCGGAGAAGCGGACGGACACCCUGCAUCAACAGCUGAUGGGAGGGUGACAGCCGCCGUACGCGCGAGCGAUAAGGAAGGCGAAGGAAAGCGGCGCUCUUAUCUUUGGGCUGGAGAGGAAAUCGCAACGAGAUUGCUUAAUGCGCUUGUCACCCUGUGUCCCCGAGAGGGCUUAUCAUCAUCGCACUGACUUAUGGUCCCGCUCUGUCUCUCUCACACACACACAAACACACACACACGGAGCGCCUUGUCACGGUAAUGAGCUAAGCUUGAUAAUGAUAAUCAUCCUUUUGCCCGGGCGAACAGUGUCUGGUCUCGGGGCGUUUGGGUUGGGUCGAUAGUUUAAGCUCGUUUUCAAAAUAAAGCACAAAACCAUUGCACCAGAGA